rnacentral:lncRNA from 1 species
UUAUGUCGGUAACAAUUUAAAAAACUAUUAAGACACCAAAUCCGUUAAGUCUUUAAGAAUUUAAUAAAUUACCAAACUACCAUAAAUUACUAUAAAUGCAUCAUGCUCUUAACAAUAUAGCAAAUCUACCAAAUUCUUUAAGAAUUUAACAAGUAAUUGUGUUGCUUGCGGUGCUUGUGACUGUGACUGCCAUUGGGAUGAAGCACGUGUACCCGUUGCUGAAGAAGGUUUAGGCUCAAUGUCUCUCACAUGCCCCCUACGAGUACCCAACACCUUCUUAAAUAUUGCGAUCCAAUAAAUGGUGUCUGGAUCACCACCGGAGUCGGCUAUGUGAUGAGUUUGUAGAGCAACCUCAGCAACUAAGGCAUUCUAUAUUUCACAAGGCCUUGGCAUUGUUGUUUGUACUAAACACAAGAAACAGCCUUCCAAUAAAUGAAACUUAUUCCAAAUUCUAUUAUGCAUUUUCAAUUUUUUAUUAUAAAUGUGAGGGGUAAUUUAACUAUGUGUCUCAAGAUGUGUGUUGUGUAAUAGAAAGACAUAGUUGUUGCAUAACAAAAAACGUAACCUUUAGCGACGACAAAAAGCAUCGCAAUUGAUGCCCCUGGACGUCGCUAAUACCUUUAGCGACGACAUGUUGUCGCUAUUACCUCGUAGCUAAUACUCUUUUUUCGUCGCAAAUAGUGUCGCCUCUGAUAUACGUUGUUGCUAAAUGGUUAAUCUCGUUGUUGUUGGUGUCGUCUCUAUUGGUAUUCCGGCCACCGGUCAGAGUUUCUCCGGCUACACUUCCCGGAACCGGUUGUCAUCACAAUUGAAUCAUUGUCGUCCCUAAAUAUGUGGCUGCUAAUGGUUUUUUUUUUUUUUUAAAAAAAUAAUUUAUUUAUGAUAUUGGUUUUUAUAUAUUAUAAAAUGCAUCUUUAAUAAAAAUACAUACCACAUUACAUAAAACAUCAAAUAUAUCAUAUUACAUAAACUAUCUAAUAUAUCCCAAAUACACAUCUAAUAUAUCAUCCAUAAACUAUCUAAUAAAUCCAAAAUAACACCAUCCACAAAGAGUCAAAACAAGAAAUACUAUGUGUAUGCGUCUUCGUCAUCGUUCUUUUCUUCAUUAUUGACGUGGCUUUUAAACAAGCAGAUAAUGUCUCCAAUGGUUGUCACAAACGCCGAGUUUUGAAGAAAAGCGUUCACAUCAACAUCCUACAAUUAAUUCACAAGCACAUUAAGUCAUUAACUAUUAAUUAUUUAACAAACGAUCAAACCAUCAAACCACCAAAUGAAUUAUGUCGGAAACAAUUUAAAAAACUACUAAGCCACCAAAUUAGUUAAGUCUUUAAGAAUUUAACAAACUACCAAACUACCAAAAAUUAUUAUAAAUGCAUAAUGCUCUUAACAAUAUAGCAAAGCUACCAAAUUCUUUAAGAAUUUAACAAGUAGUUGUGGUUCCUGCGGUGCUUGUGACUGUGACCGCCAUUAGUAUGAAGUACGUGUACCCGUUGCUGAAGAAGUUUUAGGCUCAAAGCCUCUCACAUGCCCCCUACGAGCACCCAACACCUUCUUAAAUAUUGCGAUCCAAUAAAUGGUGUCUGGAUCACCAC